GCAGCUUGGUAGUAAAGCAUCAGUUUGGAGUGUAGAAGGUCCCAGGUUCAAUCCCUGGCAUCUCCA
rnacentral:tRNA from 1 species